CCCCUGUCGCCUCAAGUGAGCUUCCCCUUCGUCCAUUUCAGAUUUGCAGGGGAGCAGCCGAAGCAGCCGGCUUCCAUGGCCGGAACUGAGCUGAGCGUGCGUGCGCUGCUGCCGUACGUGUGCAGCCAUGUCAGCCAGCAAAGCAAAGUGCGUGGAAACUCCCGUUAAAUGAUCCUGCAGAAGCGCCCUCCUCCUCCUCCUCCUUCCUCUUCCUCCAAUUUCCAAACCCUACCACCGACCACCGAUAAAAGUCCCCAAACUCUCCACUCGCUCAACCGCACCCCUCCAGUUUCCCCACACGCCUCUUUCCUAUCCCAAGAAACCAAAUCUCUCAGUGGUACCAUGGCAAGCCGCCCUUCGGCCGCUGCCUCCCUCGGGCUAGCGGCGGCUGUCGCCGCCGCUGCCGCUGCCGGAUUCCUCACCCACGUCGACCGGUUCGGUGAAAACACCUUGGUUGGAGCUCCUCCGUCGCGAGACGCCGCUGUCCAGCUGAUGCUCCUGCGGCUGCUUGUGGCGGCGGCGGCGAUGGGUGCCUUCAACACCGCCGUCGCGCUCAUCUACGCCCGCCUGUACAACGCCGGCGGCGGCGGCGUGAACGGGAGGAUUACACGGGGCGUUUACCUCGUCCUGUUUGCGUCUUCCGGCGUGCUACAUGUCUUCUUGGUUCCUCAGCUAGAGCCAGGCGUCAUCGUCGAUGGCGCUCAAGAACUUCUGCCUCCUCUCGCCGUCGCCGUUGCACAUGUGCUUCUUCCAACUGCUGCGGCGGCGACGUUCUUCCUCUCCAUGAUGCUCAUCUACGCGCAUGUCGGUGCCGGCGGCGGCGCCGUUGGGGACAUGAUGGCGAUCCCGACGACCACCGUGAAGCUCCUCACCAAGCUGGUACUCGCUGCUGCACUUGUCACUGUCGUUCUUACCCUCACCGCGACCGCCCUUGCCUCCUACGCCGACUGAUCAGCAUCAGCAUACGCAUCCAUCGACGACGACAUAGACACGGUCUACUGUGGAGGAAGCUUUUUCGGCCGGAAGAGGAGAGCAAGCUGAAAACAAAAGGUGGAACAGAUGAAGCAAAUGAUGACAAGAUUAAGACCUCCAAGAGCAGGAGUGGGAUAGUUGUGAUGUUUGCUUUCCCUGUUUAUAGUUGCUGUAGGAGUUCUACUGGUUGUGUUUAGAGCUUGUGACUGUUGUCAUUGGGGUCCUUUUGCCGUUUAGAGUUAUUUAGCUAAGUGUGGUCCCUGUAAUUGAAUAUAAGUGCAAUAUAACUACAAGUUGGAUAUACAAUAACACGAAUCUUAAUGCAAGAUUUUAUGGAUGAAAAAGUGAAA